rnacentral:lncRNA from 1 species
GGGGGAUGGUCUCUGCAGCUGCAGUGAGGCCACAGUGGAUCAGAGAUGGCCAUGCAGGCAGCCAUCUCAUUCUCCACUACUGAGAGAGGUGCUGAGCACCUUGAUGCUCUCUGAUCAGGAGAAGGCUGGGCUCCAGUGCCCCUGCUUGUCUGGAUCCCUCCCCUUCAGCCCUGGAGGAUGCAUCCCAUGGUGUAAGGCACAAUGUCAGGCCUCUCCUUUCAUAGAGCCACAGAUCUCAAGAAAUAAGGCACCUGGAAAGUUCCUUCCCCAUGCAGAAGCCACUGGAGACCAUUGUAAGGCAACAUGUGAAUUGGAGUGUGCCACACUGAGUUCCAGAGUGCAGAGGGAUCCUGAAUGGGGCUGAGGGUUUGCUGUGGAGGUUCAGAAAGGGCUGGGUUUAUGGGCCAGAAGCAAUAACUGUAGGUAUGUGAGGCAAACAGCCCCAACCUGGAGACAAGCAGUGGGAGAAGAGAGGAUGACAGCAGGUGAUAAUGUGGGGAUGACUCAUUUCUUUGAUCUCUGGAGCUCUUGCCCCUGAUGCUGUCUUGACCUUCCAUCUCACCCCCUGCAAAGCAGAUCUUGCUAGGUCACCUGCCCCCUGCAAGCAGGUGGGAAUGGCUAUGUAGCUCAAGGGUGGCAUCAUGCGGUCAUACUGGGUAGUGCACCCCACACCCUCCAUUAUGUGUAAGGUCACUCAGCAAGUGUAGCCUGCCUGUGCUGUUGUGGAUGCC